CACAAGCAAAAACAUUAUCAUUUACAUUUUUCUCAUCCCUCUUUAAAUUAAUUUUGAGUAGGUAAUAUGAAAGCAUAUAAAGAAACACAACUCUGUCUUCACUUAUUAGUUCCUAAAGUUAAACAAAACGCUACCUGGCCGGUAAUGAAAGGCUUAACGCAGCUUGUGUGUUCAACAAAAAUGCACAGCCAAAAGUGAUACCAUAACUUUAGAUCUUUCCAACUUGAAAAUCAGGGUGCUACAUCCUUGGCAUCAUAUGACAAGAUUAACGUCAGUCUGAUUUUACAAACCAUCUACUAUAAAUCACAGUGUUUAUACACAUAUUCUAGGGUAGACUUAAGAAUUUGUUUCUGAACAUUCAGAAUUACUGGAGUCAGGUUUUAGAGCAGGCCCUACAGCGAGACUAGGUGAAUUCAAAUUUUGGCUGUAGCAAUUUACUAACGAUGUAACCUUGAAAAGGUCACUUGAGUUGUCUGGGCCCGUUUCCUCAUCACCACAUCACCUAACUCAUAGACCAUGCACAGGGGCUGGAACACAGGACAAGUGCAAUGAAUCUAGCUAUCAUCAACCUUUCUCAUCAGAGUCUAGAAUUGGUCUGUUUCUAAGCCUGUGCAUAGGAGAAGGGACGUUCAAGAAGUUUAAAUGUUUGUAUCACGUUUCCUCAUUUGUUCUCUGGCUUAUUCAUGAAAUCACAAUUCCUGGCACCACAUGCUAAGCCACUAAUUCGGUUUAUUUUGCAUCUGGUUUCUGCGGGGAGCCCAGCUUUCCUUCACUGUUUGCCUCAGCUAGCUGCAAACUUUUGAGUCUACACCUAAUGUUUAGGAACAUUUGUUGGAAAUGGAAACGACUUGCCUAAAACCAGGGUUUAAAGCUCUUGGUUUCCUUUUGCUGAACUCAAGGAACCAUGUCCACAUUCCUAACUCUUGCCUUUGCCUUUGGUUUAUUGCACUACUGCUUUCUGCCCUUAAACGGCGUAAGCCAAAGCACCUUCAAUGACCUGAGUAGAAACUACAAUAGGUCCCUUCUGAAGGCUGACUUUCCCCAUCCUGGUCCCAGUUUUGCCACUAGCUGCCUUCUGAUCCAGGCGCUGGCACUUGACCCGAUUUCCUCAUUUACAAAAUCACAACUACGGUUCCGGUUACCUUCAUCUCACCCGGUGCUUCCCGUGCCAGGUGGUCUUGGGUGCCACGGGGCACGGGACCCAGCGGAGCUGGCCAGCAGGGGGCGGGGCUAAUGCCCCCAGAACGCCACAGAAAGGUGGGGAGGGCGGCAUCAGAAGGCGGGGCUCGGCAGGGUGACAGAUCCGGACGUGGACAUCUUGGGCAGCCGCCAUGUUGGAGACGCCGACUACAGGCCGCGGCGGCGGCCAAGUUUAAACGCGUUUUCGCACAGCCCGGUCUUGCGGCAGCGCCUCCUGUAGACCAGCCGGAGACGAGCGAGGGUGGCGGCGCCAAGUCGUGGCGACUUUCCUUGACACGUGGGGGACAUCGGCCUCGCUUCUUGGUGUGGUCCUAAUAAAACGGAAAGGAAGAGAAGAAGGAAUAUCAAGAACGCUUUCACGGUGGCCUCUCCCCCAUCUUCCGCCUAUCUGCCAUUCGAACCCACUUCCCGUCUCUGUGCCUUAGUCGCCUUGGAGGCCACCUGCUGGAAUCGCAGGGUGGGCUGAGGAUGAAGUAAGACAUGAAAAGCACCCAAGUACAGUGUAGUAAGUAACGCGGCGACAUGUGGCAAGAACGCGGUGCGCCUUGCCGGCUAUUAUUACUGACAUUUUUGGAGCACUUUCUAUGUGCCAGGCAUUUAUAUUAAGUGCUUUAUGUGCAUCAUCUAACUUAACUCUCGUAACAACCUCAUGCGACAGAAUUAUCCCAUUUUACACACGAGCAAAUAGGCAAGGAGAAGAAUGGCUUUGCCUGGUGCAAAUGGAAUUGCCAGGUCCCAGGAUAUGUGCAUUUAACAGUUCUGAUACAUGCGACCAAACCGCUCUUCACAGAGGACCUGUCAGUUUAUACUCCCACCAGCGUGUGGUACUAACGCAGCUUUCCCACGGCCUUGCCCACAUGGUGUAUUAACAAAUACUGGGAUUUUUGCCAUCUUAAGUGAAAAAUGCCAUCUUUUAUUUUGCAUGUUUCUUAUCAUGAAUGAGGGUGAGAGCUAUUUGUAUUGGUUUAUUGUUUGCUCAUUUCUCUAUUGGGUUGUUGGUCUUUUUUAUAUCAGUUCCCAGGAACUCUUUGUAUAUUAGAAGGAUUAAGCCCUCAGCCGUGAGUGUUUUUCUUAGUCUAGGGAAUUUUGAAUUGGCUUAUGGUGGGGUUUUUUUGGCCUUAAAGUUAAAAAAUUUUUU